rnacentral:rRNA from 1 species
GAUGAACGCUGGCGGCGUGCCUAAUACAUGCAAGUCGAGCGAACAGACGAGGAGCUUGCUCCUCUGACGUUAGCGGCGGACGGGUGAGUAACACGUGGAUAACCUACCUAUAAGACUGGGAUUACUUCGGGAAACCGGAGCUAAUACCGGAUAAUAUAUUGAACCGCAUGGUUCCAUAGUGAAAGACGGUUUUGCUGUCACUUAUAGAAGGAUCCGCGCCGCAUUAGCUAGUUGGUAAGGUAACGGCUUACCCAGGCAACGAUGCGUAGCCGACCUGAGAGGGUGAUCGGCCACACUGGAACUGAGACACGGUCCAGACUCCUACGGGAGGCAGCAGUAGGGAAUCUUCCGCAAUGGGCGAAAGCCUGACGGAGCAACGCCGCGUGAGUGAUGAAGGUCUUCGGAUCGUAAAACUCUGUUAUUAGGGAAGAACAAAUGUGUAAGUAACUAUGCACGUCUUGACGGUACCUAAUCAGAAAGCCACGGCUAACUACGUG